rnacentral:rRNA from 1 species
GUCUAUGGCCAUACCACCCUGAACAUGCCUGAUCUUGUCUGAUCUCGGAAGCUAAGUAGGGUCGGGCCUGGUUAGUACUUGGAUGGGAGACAGCCAGGGAAUGCCGGGUGCUGUAGGCU